UCCUUGGUCAUUUCUUCCACAGGUUCAGAGGUGGAAAGCAGCUUGAGAAGGUGGCUGUAUUUCCGAAUGUGCACCUAACUGAGCCAUCCUGCUUACCUACCGGGGAGGGGUUGUCUUCUUGCCUCCUCUAGAACUGCCACUGGCUUGACUCCAAUGUAAUCCUUUAUAGUUAUAGGUAGAAGGAAGAAGUGAAGAGAGCCAGCAGCUGAUUUCUGUGGCUUGGAAGUGCCUUUGUGUUCUACUACCUACUGAGUGGGGUGGAAAAGCAGCAUUCAGUGAAGCUGAGACCACAGCUGAGAAGCAACCUGACCUGCCUGACAGUUGGGUAGAGCUCCUCCAGAAAGGAGAAGCAGGACCUUCAUCAGUUUCACGUGAAGCAAUGAGAAUCCACCCCAGUAGACGGGUGAAGCUGCUGGCCGAGGAUAUGACACUGCUGUCACAAGAUAUCCAUGCCAACACUUCACUUCCGAGAGUGGAGAUGACGCUGACCUUCAAGAGUGUCGUGAGAGGCAUUUUCGUCCUCCCAGCUGCAGAGACCUCCCCUCAGAGUUGCUGCUAUUGGGGGUGGGCACAGCAACAGGUUCCCUCUCUUUCCCUGGCCUCAGCUUUCCUCCAGUGCUUGGAUUGGGAGUUAGACAUUCUUCAAUGCAAUCAAGCUAAGAGGCUUCCUCUUAAUAAUUUAUAA
rnacentral:lncRNA from 1 species